CCACUCCCGGAGGCAGCUCCCCCCGCCGCCCGCCCUCCCUUUCUCUCCGAGUUCAUGUGACCAGUGACUUCAUCGGCACCGCCUUCUUGCGCCUGGCGGAAUAAGGGCGGGGAAGUGAACGUGCGCAGAAACUACGCUAGAAAUGGGUGGAACAUUGGGGCCCUUUGCCGCAGCUGUAUCCCGCUGCAGUCAGCGAGGUAGCGCCUGCCUUCGGAGAAGGACCUUUGAAAGAACCCGUGCUGUGGUAUUUCCGGCCUCUGAGAUAACCAAGCUUCUAGAGUAGUCUGUAUCCGGCCAGGCUUGCCGCCCAAGAGAGGUGGUGGGGCUUGGGCGGGAAUACAGACAUACCGGAAGAAGCUGGAGAUUUCUCGGAGUGUUUCUUUGGGCGUUUCGGAACACCUUGAACCAGAGGAUUUACAAAAGACAGUUAAAUUCCCAGCACCCUCCCUCCCCCUGAAAUAGGAGCUUUGACUCAAAAAAAUUGUUUCAAAGUUUGUUUCCAAACAUGCCUUUUAAGCUUCAAUUUAAUCAGCGUAAUGAAUUCCUCCAACCUCUUACACUGAACAUGAUCACCUUCCAGGAAAACUACAAAUUGUGUUUUUUUUCUUCCCUUGUUCUACUACUGAAGUCCUGAAAUUUAGUUCUUUAAACACAACUUUCUCUAGAAAACAAAGAACAUUUCUAAAUAGUAAUUUCUUGGAUAGCCAAUGGUCUGUUGGUUUGGUGUUGUCGUUUAAAUUCUGUCUUCACCAUCCUUUUUUUCUGUGUCCUCUUCUAUUGCCACAAUGAGGAAAGACUUAGAUCUAGCCCCUUUCCCAGAUUGUGCCUCCUUUUCGACAUCAUGAGAGAGACCGAGACAGAGAGAGAGAGAGAGAGAGAGAGAGAGAGAGAGAGAGAGAGAGAGAGAGAGAGUUAAAUUCCAUUGGAAUACCAUACAUUAAAUAUUUAUCAAAUAGGUUUCAGGCAUUGUGAAAAACCACAGUGCUUUCCUUUAAGGACCUUACUAAUAGGACACCCACACAUAUAUAUGACCUAUAUACAAAAAGAAAAC
rnacentral:lncRNA from 1 species